UAGAAAAGAUUCUAAAAUGUGAUAAUAAAUCAGGUGAUAGUAAAAAUGCGUCGUGGGAUGACAAAAGCGAGCUUUGUUUGCUAAAGAUAUAUGGGAUAAAGACAUUAGUGAAAAGC